rnacentral:lncRNA from 1 species
UAAUAAAUCAGACGCAAUAAGUAAUAUAAUAAGAGGUCUGUUUGAUAAGUGCGUGACUUCAACGGAAGGCUACACUUAAAGCGCAAGUGUAAUUUAAUCUCUUGCGUUUUCCAUCUUAUUCAGCUACAUACACAAAGUUUCAUGUAAAUCUUCUUAACAGAAAUCUUUUGCCAGUGUUCGGAAGCAGAUAAAUCUUUAAACCUUUCGACUUCGUUUUGGUUUCAAAUAUGAAGAAAUGACUUGGUGGGAAAAGAUUUGCAUUGAAUGAAGAAGUCAUCGCGGAA